GCUUGUCCAAAGAUUAAGCCAUACAUGUCUAAGUAUAGCAUCUAUACCGUAAAACUGCGAAUGGCUCAUUAAAUCAGUUAUCAUUUAUUUAAUAGUACCUUACUACUUGGAUACCCGUGGUAAUUCUAGAGCUAAUACAUGCUAAAAACCCCAACUUCAGGAGGGGUGUGUUUAUUAGAUAAAAAACCAACGCCCUUCAGGGCUCCUUAGUGAUUCAUAAUAACUUCUCAGAUCGCACGGCCUUGCGCCGGCGACAGUUCAUUCAAAUUUCUGCCCUAUCAACUUUCGAUGGUAAGGUAUUAGCUUACCAUAGUUUCAACGGGUAACGGGGAAUUAGGGUUCGAUUCCAGAGAGCGAGCCUAAGAGACAGCUAGCACAUCCAAGGAAGGCAGCAGG
rnacentral:rRNA from 1 species